GUCAUCUCCACGGAGACGUCUGUCCAGUGGGCCACUACUGUCCCAACGGGACUGCAGUCCCGCACCCCUGUCCCCCAGGAACCUUCCAGGGCCGGUCUGGGGCUGUGUCUCUGGGCGCCUGUACACCCUGCCCCCCUGGGUCCUACUGCCCCUCCUGGGCUCAGGCCUCCGUCCAGCACCUCUGUCCCCAGGGAUGGUUCUGUCCACUGGGCUCAUUGUCUGACCAUCCUCCAGAUUGCCAGUGCCCACCGGGCCAUGCAUGUCCACCUGGAAGUGCUGAGCCGGCGGUCUGCAGCCCUGGAACAUUCCAGGCCUCCGCUGGGCAGUCGACUUGUGUAGCCUGCCCACCAGGUUUCUACUGUAUGGAGGGUGCGUGGCUUCCUACUCCAUGCCCCCCAGGCAGUGUGGGUCCAUUACCUAAUCAGACAGCCCCUGGUGACUGCUCCCUCUGCCCCUCCGGCUCCUUCUGCAACAGCGGCGGUCUGACCCAGCCGUCUGGACCCUGCAGCCCAGGUCAUUUCUGUACUCAGGGAGCCAGCGAAGCUUCCCCUGUCUCCCAGCCUUACGGAGAUCUGUGUCCAAAGGGUCACUUCUGUCCUGAGGGAAGCGCCUCUCCCAAGCCCUGCCCCAUGGGCAGCUACCUCCGCCAGACCGGGGCCUCCUCCCCCACCCACUGUCUCCCCUGUCCCCCGGGGGAGUACUGCCUCGUUGCUGGAGCUCCCAAGCCCACAGGCGCGUGCUUGGCAGGGUUUUACUGUUUUGGGGGUGCAGACAGCCCAGCGCCCCGUGCCAACCCAUCCUUGUUCAGCUGUCUGAUCCGGGCGGUGGCAGAUAAUACCACAGCGCUGGAGUACUUAUGGACCCGCAAUCAUUCCUGCUUCAACAGCCCUGAUGUCUGUGGUCCAGCUGGAUGGGGAAAUGAGAGCAUGCAGUCAAUGAGGGUUUCUGACCUCCUAUUCAGCCAGCUGAUGCUCUGUCUCAAGGCCUCGGCUCCCGCUUCAAUUACACACAAGGGAGACAUCUGCCCCAGGGGUUUCUACUGUCCGUCAGGGUCUUCCCAGCCGCGGCCCUGUGACGCAGGCUCUUACUGUAACACCAC
ensembl:lncRNA